rnacentral:rRNA from 1 species
GCAGUAGCCGCGGUAAUACGUAGGUGGCAAGCGUUGUCCGGAAUUAUUGGGCGUAAAGGGCUCGCAGGCGGUUUCUUAAGUCUGAUGUGAAAGCCCCCGGCUCAACCGGGGAGGGUCAUUGGAAACUGGGAAACUUGAGUGCAGAAGAGGAGAGUGGAAUUCCACGUGUAGCGGUGAAAUGCGUAGAGAUGUGGAGGAACACCAGUGGCGAAGGUGACUCUCUGGUCUGUAACUGACGCUGAGGAGCGAAAGCGUGGGGAGCGAACAGGAUUAGAUACCCGCGUAGUCCCUGUCUCUUAUAA